GUCUGAUAAAUGUCUGUCUCUCGAAACCAUGAACGUUCUUCCCUAGAAGAGAAAAUCUUCACAGCAAUUUUUUCCCAUCAUUUGUCUUGCCAAACUUUUCCAAACUGACCUUUGCUGAUGGUUUCUUGUAACACAAUAGUCCUGGCAAUUUUUCUCUAAACAAGCAGAAGUAAACUGCUGCACAACA